ACGGUGUCGCCUCCCAAAGACAGUCGUGAAGGAAACGGGACGGUGGGGAAAGUAUAUCCCGAAGUCGUGUGGCGCCUCGAGAAGGCAGAACGUGGGAAACGAAGCCUUUGACCGGGCAAAAAAAGAUAAGGAGCCUUUCAAGGGCGUCGCUCUCUAAGGAACACACAAAUGAACAAUGUUACCUUUGUUGAUACAAAUCUCAGAGUCCACCCUGGAUGAGGGAAGAAGAUAUGGUCAACUGUUAUAGUCUACAAGGCUUCAACACCACUUGCCAGUGAACAAAAGAGAUGACACAAGAACAAAAGAGUUGAAACAAGAUAUCUUCAUUUCCUGCACUUUAACCACUGUGAAAAUAAAGAAGCAAGG